rfam:Tarsius syrichta cont1.87601, whole genome shotgun sequence.
UGUGUAGAAACGAACUCUUGUCAGAGUUGCAAAGGAAUUAACGUUUUUUUGGCAAAAUGUGCUAAUAUAAAGAGUUAGAAGAUUAGUAAUGCCGAGUGAAAGCCACACGCUCUUGCGCACGGAAACAGGCACGUGCUCCGUGUCCUGCGGGCGACUGGGCUGCAGCAAUUUUAUUGAAGAUUGAAGUUUGAUUGACCCACGUUGAGGUGGCUAACCCUUCUGAAUUAAAAACCAGAGCGGAUUAUUCUGCUCAAUUUAAUGCAAC